GUGUGUGUGAGUUUGUUGCAGGUGUGUGAUUGAGUUGCACCUGACAGGUCCAGGUGGAUCACAUGAGCUGAUUGGUUCUCUGCUGAAGACUCCAGGGUUCUUCCAAGAGACCUGCUGGAACCACACUGAGCCAAACUGCCAUUUGUUUGUUUCGUUUGGAGGGAGCGGAGGGGGGGACGUGACGGUGUGCGGUGAUUGAUGGGAGCGACCGCGGAGGAUUUUACACCACCAACAAAAAAAGACGGGGCAGAGAACGAGAGACCCGGGGAACAACAGCCAAUUUAGAUUGAAAAUCCCAGUUCAGCUCGGGGUAAUCUGAUUUCUCUGCUCCCCAGAAAUCUACAUGUAUAGUGCUUAUCAACUGGAUUACUGGCAGGUAGGAAGAAUAACCCAAUUUGGGGUUACUUGUUUCUCUGUGUGUAGUAUUCAGUGUCACAUUGCAUUAGAAGAGGAGGGCUAUUGCUUUGUGGAAUUGAUGCGUAACUUCCUCGCUGCUCCUUUCCCUGAUCUAACUCCUCAUUCAUUCUCAUGUUCUGUUUUUUUUUUUUGCAUUCCACAACCACAUAGAAAAAACAAAAUAAUCAAAUGUAAAUGUACUGCAAUCAGAUAAUGGCUCUAAUGGAUGCAUUUAAAGAAAAAAUACAAAGCUGAGUUUCACCACUUUUCCCUUUUUUUUUUUUUUUCAUUUGACUUUUUCCCAGCCGGCAGUCUGUGUCUUCGUCCUCACUCUGAGGCAGACAUGGUGGAAGUGACAGGACAGAGAUGAGUUUACUGGGACGGUCAAAAGGCCAGGAGGCCACAGACUCUAUAUGGCUGUGCUAUGACAAUAAUACUGCCCUGAAACCCCCCACCCCAACCAACCCCUCCCCAUUUGCAGAUAUUAUACAGGGUCGAGUAUGGGUUGCGGUAAAGAAUGACCACCAUCCACGUAGCCCUAAUCACCGCAGGGGUCAAUCCCCUUCGAACAAGUCCGGCACUUCCUCCAAGGUGAUUAUUGAUAAAGGAUGACACGCCAAUGUAGACACUGGAGAAAUUAUACUCUGGGGCCAGUGGUUGCACAUCUCCUGUUUCCAGAGAGGGAGACGUUGCCUAAUGUAUAAAUACUGUGGUGGGACACUAUUCCCUUACCUACUGAGAGACUAUAAAAGAAGCCGAGUGGAAACCAUCAGGGAUGCAGGGAGCCAUGUCAGCUUCCUUUAGACACAGGCCUUCUAAUGUCUUUUAAGGGAAACAAUCAUCUUUCCUGAUGAACCAAAAUGUCCUUUAGCAGCCAAGGUCGAAUUACACCCACUCUCCCCCUCCUCCCC